AGGCAUGCGCCACCAUACCAGGUCUGUUAUCCUCCCAGUCCACAAUGCUGAACCAUGGCUGGAUGAGUGUUUGAGGUCUGUUUUGCAACAGGACUUUGAAGGCACGAUGGAGCUGUCUGUUUUCAAUGAUGCCAGUAAGGACAAGUCUGGGGCUAUCAUUGAAAAAUGGAGAGUGAAACUGGAAGAUUCUGGUGUCCAUGUGAUCAUUGGGGGGCACGAUUCUCCUUCUCCCCGAGGUGUCGGAUACUCUAAAAAUCAAGCAGUUGCCCAGAGCUCAGGGUCUUACCUUUGCUUUUUGGAUUCGGAUGACGUCAUGAUGCCCCAGCGGGUGAGGCUGCAACACCAGGCUGCCGUUCAGCACCCAUCGAGCAUCGUCGGUUGCCGAGUGAGGAGAGAUCCCCCUAACUCCACCGAACGAUACACACGUUGGAUCAACCAGCUGACGCCCGAGCAGCUCCUGACGCAGGUUUUCACCGCAAAUGGUCCAACGGUGAUCAUGCCCACCUGGUUCUGUUCGCGGGCGUGGUUUUCCCACGUGGGCCCCUUUGACGAGGGAGGUCAGGGCGUCCCGGAGGACCUGUUGUUCUUCUACGAGCACCUCAGGAAGGGCGGUGGCGUCAUCCGCGUGGACCAGAGCCUCCUGCUGUACCGAUACCACCCGCGGGCGGCCACGCACUCCGUCCUUGAGACGACCAUCUGGACCCACCGCGUCCGCUUCCUGGAAGAGCAGGCCCUUCCCCGCUGGGCAGCCUUCACCAUCUGGAACGCCGGCAAGCAGGGGCGCCGGCUGUACCGCAGCUUGACCGCCGCCAGCCAGCGCAAGGUGGUGGCCUUCUGUGACUUCUGUGCCUGUCCCCAGGUGGUGGCCUUCUGUGACGUGGAUGAGAACAAGAUCAGGAAAGGCUUCUAUUGCCACGAGGACUCUCAGGAAAGACCCAAGCCCCGAAUCCCCAUCCUGCACUUCCGAGCCGCCCGGCCACCCUUCGUCAUCUGCGUGAAGCUGGACCUCACAGGGGGCGCCUUUGAGGACAACCUGAGGUCGCUGCACUUGCAGGAGGGCCAGGACUUCCUUCACUUCAGCUGACGGACCCAUGGCAGCUGCUCCCAGAAGCCACUUGUUCCCUCCGUCCUCAGUGCAUCCCAGGCCAGCAGGAGCUUCGUGAGCUGCAGGCAUGGCAAUGGUGCACCCCAGUUCCACACCCAGCAGGCGCAACCAGUCUCGUGUGUGCCGACCACAGGAGCCGAACCUUUUCCACCGUGUGGACUCGUGUGGCCAAGGCUGGGCCUGGUCACCCAGGACCCUCACCACGUGACCCCAGCCAAUCGAGGGGACAGUUCGAGGAGGAGGAGACCCCAAUUACACAGGUGGCACGGACCCCACAGACCUGUAGCAACGCACUGAGAUCGGCACGGAGGCCCUCACAGUCGGCGCUCUAAACAGAGCAGCCGACUGGGACUCAGCAGCACCUGGGACUCCACCACCCCGGGUGUGCCACGGGGACGCCCACACAGCCUCUGGGUGCUUCAGGCCUGAUCUCCAACACGGGGUGACGAGACUGCUCCCCUUUUAUAGGUGAGUGUGCAAGUGAGCAUGUGUGUGAGCCAGCGUGGGUGCACAUGCCCCCGUGUGUGAGGCACCAUCACUGCUGCUCCCAGGACCACACCAGUUGGCCCAGGACACCUAAGCCUGCACUUUCCCCACUCUGCUCUCUCAUUCAGACCCUCCUACCCCGCAACUCAACAGACACAUCUUUCAAAACUGCCAUUCUAAUCCACCCACGGUAAAGAAACCAGCCCACGUGGUAAAGAAACUGUGCCUGCCACAGUGAACGUGGAGAGUGGCGCUGUGGCCUCCUGAGGGUCUCCCAGCCCCGGGGAAGGGGGUGGACAUCAGAGCAGAGGCGUGGGGAGAUCUUUUCUUGUUUCCGCCUGUGCCUCUUGAUUUCCUACAGGUGCUCACGCGGCCUAUUCCAAGAAAACUGAAGAGAGGCCCAAGAGGCCCUCCCUGGGGGGCGCCUGGGGCAGCAGUACCUGCCAGGCCUUCAGACACAGCCUUGUGGUGGCACGAUGGAUGGCUUUGCUGUGUUUCUGACACCCGACAGUGUUCAGGGACAGGGUGGUUGAGGUUUCAGCUACAGCACCACUGCUGCCUCGUAAAAUCCAAGCAGAGGCUGUCGAGGCCUGGGAGCCCUCUUUCCUCCUAUCCGAGGGUUUUGGGAGAGACGAGCUGACAUGGUGGGGAAGAGGGCGGUGCCAGGCCCGGGUGGCCGUUUGACAUGAUGGGGAAGGAGGCGGUGCCAGGCCCAGGUGGCCGUUUGACAUGGUGGGGAAGGGGGCGGUGCCAGGCCCGGGUGGCCGUUUGACAUGGUGGGGAAGGGGGCGGUGCCAGGCCCGGGUGGCUGUGCAGGAAGGGUCUUCACUCACCACGCAGUGUCGCUGAGCACAGUCACCACCUCGUCCAGCACGUCCGCGCCCACGACGUCACUGUAGGUGAGCAAUGUCUCGUACACCUGGCUGGCCGUGGUCUUCCGGAUCUGGGACAGGGACGCAGGGUAUUGGCGGGAGGGAAGCACCACUGCCCCACCCCAAAGAGACGACAGGACCAGGUCAGGGAGCCCCGUCAGUGGAAGGCGUCAGGAGGAGGGCUCUGACCCUGCAUCCCAUCCCAGCCACAGCAGGAGGCGCCUUCCACGCCCAUUAACCACCUCCUCCCUCCACAGACACACAGCUGCAGGCUCCCAGCAGUGAAGAUCACGUCAUUCUUGUCUAAAUGCUCUGUUAACCAGCGUGCUCCCUCUCCAGAGAAGCAACUUUGCCUGCUUUUUUCCAUCAGGGAAGUAAUCACAGCUGCUCUCUUUGCUAGCGGUGCUCUGGUCAUCACGUCUCACUGAGCUGGUGGUCAGAGCCCCGGGCCCACCCCUGGAGGUGCUGAGUCAGCAGGACAGGGCCCAGGAACCUGCAUGCGGAAGCCCCAGAGGUGCUGAGGCUGAGGGUCCAGCACCCCGCUUCGAGAACCGCUGUAUAACGUGAAGUUACUUUUGCCUUUUAGGAAAAUGUCACCUUCGGAUCAUCUGAGGUUUUUUUGCAGCCAAGAGAAAAGAAAUCCUAGAAGUCUAACAGCUGGGGAGUGCUGGGGAUGAAGGGCACUGCCCCAGGUGUGCUUAAACCACUUCAGCCUGGAUCCUUCCGGAAGCUCCUGAGCCAGUUCCCACGGCCAGGUCACCCCUCGGUUUGUGUCCAUAGAAAUGCCAGCCGGACACCCCAUCCUUGAAGCCAGAACAGUGACGUCCGAGCCCCUUGAUGGCUGCGUGCCUGGGAUGCACAUCACCCAGGCGUGUUACAGAGGGGGCUCGGCUGGAAAGCACAGCAGCGAACAGUGCCUUCCAAGGCCUCUGUGUCACCAAGGGGCUUGAGUCCACACAGCAAACACACAUGAACGGGGGAGGCACUCACCAGCGGGAAGCGGUGGCAGAGGAGCAGACACAGCUGCAGGAGGGCGCUCCUCCUCACGUUGCCGGGGAACUGCACCAUCUCGCAGAACCUGCCGAGAGCAGCACACGGGCCGGGUGAGCCCUGCCCCCACGCAGGCCGACCCCAGGAAGCCGCCGACCCCAAGACCCACACAGAGACCGGGGGAGAGCAGAUCCGUGAGCACAGUGCGGACCGGAGCCCUGAGCCAGAGGUGUGUCUGUGUGCACAUGUGCACUGUGCCUGUACACGCGUGAGUGUCACACUGGGAGAGCCCACUGUGGGAAGUGAGGACGCCUCGGAGGAUCUCCUGCAAGGCUGCUCGCCCUGCCACGAGCCUCAAAGAGCCACAGAGCAGCCAAGGUGCCUAUCGCUGGCUGGCGCACCUGCCCAGUGUCCACCUGAGCGCCACAGAGCAAGGCACUCAACAGCAACCCCCUGGGCACACAGAAUCGGGGAGGCAGCCCCUGACCACAUACCUCCUUUGUGGGGCUCCCCUCCCCACCGGGCAGAGCGUGAGGGCAGCAAGGCAGAGCUCGCUUGCUCCGGCACCAGCACCUGGGCUGCCUCGCCUCCCACUGCAACUGCUUUGGACAUUGGAACGCACAAUCUUAGCUUAGCUCGAGGGAUAACACUAACUGCUCCUCUCCCGCCUGGAGCCGCGGACUCCUGCCCUCGGCCAAGGGAGGCUGCGCCCUGCUGUUGCGUCUAAGGCCAGUAGCACUUGAAACUCACACGGGGAUGGCUGACAGCAGUUUCUGGACGUCUUUGGAAUUCUUGAUUUCUUUCUUACAAAGCGCAAGCAGCUUCACAGCAAAGGGGUGGCUGGAAGAACAACACACUCUUUAGAGAUGAGCUUUCACAGGCAGCCCCGGGACGCACACUUUUUCUGUCUCAAAGGUCAACUCCGUCCUCCCAGUGCUCAGUCCAAGAAGCCUGCAGCCCUGUGGGCCCCUCUGCCAGCAAGUCCGCUGGUCCCCAUCCCGGUACCUCCACAGGCCGGCCUGGUCCCCAGCUGCUGUGCCACCACCUGGCCGGCCUCUGCUCUCUCCCACCUGUGGUGCAGCAGCCCCCACGGGGCCCCCACCUCCCUUCCCAGGCCCCAGGGUCCAUCCCCAACACAGCGGCAGCCAGGAUGCCCGUGCUCCUCCACCGCCCUCUCCAGAGGCUGCCUGGCCUGGCUGCUGCAGAGCCGGGGGAAUUUGCUGACACACAGAGGACACACAAGGCUGUGCAGUGUUGUUUUGAGCCUUCAGUGGCAGCAGGGACAAGGGUUGAGGCUUGGUGCUGACAAAGACGCAGCCCUGAUGAGCAGCUCUGAGAGGGCACCCAGAAGGCCUCUCCAGGGAGCAGAGGGAGAAGACACGCACCUGCCUCUCGGGGGAAUGCAGCCAAGUUCCAGCCACCCGACAGGCCAGGAAACCCUCACUGCUGACCGUAGGUCAAGGAGACCCCAGGCUGCUGCUACCCUCCCUCAGGUGCCCAGAAAAGGCAAACUAAGGUCCUGCCUGCCAAAACGCAGGCUUAGCCCAGGCCUUGGCUUGCUCUGAAGUGGAACCCCUCAAACGCAACGUCCGGAGAGUACACAAUAGCAGAUAAGUAAGAAAACAAACCAGCUUGGGCUGCAGCUCAGACACACCCAAACAGGCAGGAGAAGAGUGUUCAAGAGGAUGGACACCGGGCACGGAAGGAAGGGCCGCAGGGAACGGCCAAGCAGAAAGCACGACAAGCAGAUAUGGAAACACACGAGACAAAAAACCUGCACCUGAAAAGACGCAAAACUCCCAAAUAAGAAUUCCACAAAUCACAGUUCAAAGUCAUUUAGAGACAUCAGAGAGAAUCAGCAGCUGGCAGGUGGGCCAAAGGUAAUGAAGCAAAGAGAGAGGGAAAAGACGUGUGAAAAUUGCAGAGGGGGUGACGGGGGAAACGCAUGAGCGUGAUAAUGACAGAAAAGCCAGGGAAGGAGCAAACCCGAGCAGGAGGCGGGAAACCCAGGCCAUUCCCAGGGAGCACAGGCUGACUCAGGUGACACUCAAAAGCAACAACAGAAGCCAGGAGGAAGUGGGAAAAUAUUUUUAAUGUGCUGAAACAAAACAGCCACCUGAAUUCUAUACACCCUCUGAAAAUAAUCUGCACAUAAAAUGGGAAAGCUUCACCAGCAGCAGACCCCACUCGAGGAAAUCCAAGGGAGUGUGCUGUAGGGAGAGGGAAUGUGAACCUCGAUGCAGGGGGAGGGGGCGGGUCCCAAAAUCAGUAAGUGAUGAGAGACAAAGAAAGCAUAAAAACGUGGAAAAUUCAAAAUAACGCACAUUACACGAUACCACAAUGAACAGGAAACUAUGUACAUCCAAGACAAAAUAUCCAACAACAGUAGCAUAUAACUCAGGACGGAAGCACGCAGAACCAACAUGUUCUAAUAUCCUUGCUGUUG